rnacentral:rRNA from 1 species
UACGUAGGGUGCAAGCGUUAAUCGGAAUUACUGGGCGUAAAGCGCACGUAGGCGGCUUCUUAAGUCAGGGGUGAAAUCCUGGAGCUCAACUCCAGAACUGCCUUUGAUACUGAGGAGCUUGAGUCCGGGAGAGGUGAGUGGAACUGCGAGUGUAGAGGUGAAAUUCGUAGAUAUUCGCAAGAACACCAGUGGCGAAGGCGGCUCACUGGCCCGGUACUGACGCUGAGGUGCGAAAGCGUGGGGAGCAAACAGG